rnacentral:rRNA from 1 species
CCUACGGGUGGCAGCAGUGAGGAAUAUUGGUCAAUGGACGAGAGUCUGAACCAGCCAAGUCGCGUGAAGGAUGACUGCCCUCUGGGUUGUAAACUUCUUUUAUAAAGGAAUAAAACGAGGCACGUGUGCCUUUUUGCAUGUACUUUAUGAAUAAGGAUCGGCUACCUCCGUGCCAGCAGCCGCGGUAAUACGGAGGAUCCGAGCGUUCUCCGGAUUUAUUGGGUUUAAAGGGAGCGUAGAUGGGUUGUUAAGUCAGUUGUGAAAGUUUGCGGCUCAACCGUAAAAUUGCAAUUGAUACUGGCAGUCGUGAGUACAGUUGAGGUAGGCGGAAUUCGUGGUGUAGCGGUGAAAUGCUUAGAUAUCACGAUGAACCCCGAUUGCGAAGGCAGCUUACUAAACUGUGACUGACAUUGAUGCUCGAAAGUGUGGGGAUCAAACAGGAUUAGAUACCCCUGUAGUC